rnacentral:rRNA from 1 species
AUUGAACGCUGGCGGCAUGCUUUACACAUGCAAGUCGAACGGUAACAGGCCUUCGGGCGCUGACGAGUGGCGAACGGGUGAGUAAUGCAUCGGAACGUGCCCAGUCGUGGGGGAUAACGCACCGAAAGGUGUGCUAAUACCGCAUACGUCCUGAGGGAGAAAGCGGGGGAUCGCAAGACCUCGCGCGAUUGGAGCGGCCGAUGCCGGAUUAGCUAGUUGGUGGGGUAAAGGCCUACCAAGGCGACGAUCCGUAGCUGGUCUGAGAGGAUGAUCAGCCACACUGGGACUGAGACACGGCCCAGACUCCUACGGGAGGCAGCAGUGGGGAAUUUUGGACAAUGGGGGCAACCCUGAUCCAGCCAUGCCGCGUGAGUGAAGAAGGCCUUCGGGUUGUAAAGCUCUUUCGGCCGGGAAGAAAUCGUGGUCUCUAAUAUAGGCCAUGGAUGACGGUACCGGACUAAGAAGCACCGGCUAACUACGUGCCAGCAGCCGCCGUAACAC